GCAGUCCCUCAGACAGACAGACAGACAGACGGAGUGGAUGUACCUGAGGACAGACAGUCUGACAGCAGCUGAGACACAUUAAAGUUCCCGGAGGUCACUUUAACAAAGUCAGCUCGCUGCUCUGAUGGCAUGUAGCUGAAGUGACUGAUGCAGAGCCCCGUUAGGAAAUAGAGACAUUUGAAGAUCCCGUGCUGCCUUUCUCCACCAAAACACGCCCAAGCAGCGGCAGCGAGGCAGCGCCGACAGACAGG